AGCUUGGGCCACGGGGCUGUCCAGCUUGGAGAGAGGCCUUUCACGCCGCAGUCCCCAGCUGCGAGAGGAAGGGCUGCGCCCGCCUCCUCACCUACCUCUCGGAACCACGCCGUCCGCCGCGCGUCUUGGUAGACUGCAGGAGCCCAGGGCUUCUGGGGACUGUGACGGCGCCCAAGGCGAGGGAUAAGGCGGCUCCGGGUCGCCGCCCUCUGUCCCCCCGCUCUGCGAGGCCUCUCGAGGCAGUGUCUGUGUCUGGGGCAGCGACGCCGACGGCGCUGGGGGCGCGAAGGGGCUCAUGCUCCUGCGUCCCCCUGGCGCCAGUGAGUUGCGGGCGAGAACAGGGUCCGGGAGGGGGAUUGGCGCGAGCGCUUCCUGCCUCCGCCCGGGCGGGGCUCGGCCGUCUCACCUGCCCCCACCCGCGGCGCCGUCGGAUCCCAGAGCUGCUGCGGAGACCUGAAAGCAGCUUAACCAUGAGCAGCACUCAACUAAGCAAAGAAAUUCUUCGCAAUAAAUAGGGAUGUUUGAAAGGUUUUACGUUGGACCCGCCUUACCGUAGACAGACACUAGAGGGUGCUCCUCGCUCAGAAAGCCGCGUGUUUCCAGGCCUGGGACCUCUGCCAGAAAGCGCUUGGACUGCUGGUCCUGAAACUUCCUCUUUGGGUCUGGUAAUUUACUGGGGAGAAGUAUCUGCUCCCUUGGUUCUGAAACUAAAGGCUUUUACGGAAGGAGGAGGAGACUGCAAGCGGCUACAUGGAGCAGAAAUGUGGCUCCUCCAAACUUUCACCAAUUGGAGUUCUGCUGGACUGCGACUUGGAGAAUACGAGCAGUGUCUCAUUCACCCAGGAGUCCCAGGGUCUAGCACACAUAGUGUCUGGCAGAUAGUAAGCGCUUUGUAAAUAUUUAUGGAAUGGGACCAACCAAUGGGGGUGUCUGAGACCUAAAUAAUUACAAUUCCAAAUUGGGGAGUGCUGGCACGAUGACCACACAGUAUUAAGGGCGCUCCCAGAAGAAUGGGGGCUGGGGAGGACUGGCCAGAAGGGCUUCCUGAAAUUCAGGAGCCCUGGCACUCUCUGGAGUACACAGAAAAGAUCUUCCACAUCUGGCUUUUGGAUAUUUAAAAACAGCUUCAUGCUCCAUUUCUUCCAUGUCCUUCCUGUGGAAUGAUUUCUAGGCUUUUCACUAAGUUGAUUGCUCCCUGCAGACUUACAGGAAGGCAAAUAAUAGUUUAGCACCUACUGGGUUCAAGCAUCUCCUAUGAUCUCCAUUAUCUGAUUUAAUUGUGUCUUUAUCUCAUUUAAUCCCUGCAACAACUCUCUGAGACUAAGGUUAUUAUCCACAUUCUACAGAUUAGAACUUGGCAAGGUUUGAUAACGGGCCCAAGAUCACACCAUCAGGGACCGACAGGACCAGUAUUUGAACCCAGAUAGUCUAGUAGCAAAAGAUGCUUUUAAAAAUUUUCACUUAAAAGAAUAACAACAACAGCAACUAACAGUAUGGAGGGGGCCAGAUACUUUUCUGUGUUUUACAUUUAUUAACUCAUUUAAGUUGUUUAAUUGCUAUACACUUAGAUGUCAUCCUUUCUAUUAGUACAUUGUUAGUACUGAAAAGUGAAGAGAAUGAUUAACAAACACCCAUGUACUCAUCACCUGCCAUAAAAAAAGAUUAAAGUUGAUAUUAUCCAGCCGCAAAAAUAUUGAAAAAGAACAAGGUUGGAGAACUUGGCCCAGUGCAGUGGCUCAUGCCUGUAAUCCCAGCAUUUUGGGAGGCCAAGGCGUGUGGAUUGCUUGAGCUCAGGAGUUCGAGACCAGUCUGGGCAACAUGGUAAAAAUACAAAAAAUUUCUACAAAAAAAAGUUUCUACAAAAAAAUAUACAAAAAUUAGCCUGGUGUGGUGGUUAGCUCGCCUGUGGUCCCAGCUACUCAGGAGGCUGAGGUGGGAGGAUCACCUGAGCCCAGGGAGGCUGAGGCUGCAGUGAGCCAAGAUAGUGCCACUGCACUCCAGCCUAGGCAAAAGAGCAAGAUCUUGUCUUAAAAAAAAAAAAAGUUGGAGAACUUACACUUUCCAAUUUCAAAAGCUACAGUAAUAAAACAAUGUGGUACUGGCA
rnacentral:lncRNA from 1 species